UAUGAAAAAGGCAAACCUACCGAAAGAUAGGGACGCAAAGCUAUAGGGCCUUUCUUUAAAAGAAUGGUAGCCUGGCCGCCGAUU
rnacentral:ncRNA from 1 species